UUGAGAACUGCUUGCGAGAGGGCAAAAAGAACACUUUCUUUUCUUGUUGUCGCCACUGUUGAGGUUGAUUCUUUAUUUCAAGGCAUUGACUUUUCUUCAUCGAUUAAUAGGGCCAAGUUUGAGGAAAUGAAUAUGGACCUUUUCGAUGAAUGUACGAAGAUUGUUGAAAGUUGUCUUAUUGAUGCUAAGAUGGACAAGAGUAAGGUAGAUGAUGUUGUUCUUGUUGGUGGGUCUUCUAGGAUUCCCAAAGUGCAGCAGCUGUUGCAGGAGUUUUUCAAGGGGAAGGAGUUGUGCAAGAGCAUUAACCCUGAUGAGGCUGUAGCUUAUGGGGCAGCUGUUCAGGCUGCUUUGUUGUGUGAAGACGUUAAGAAUGUUCCUAAGUUGGUGCUGCAGGAUGUUACACCUUUGUCUCUUGGUAGGUCCAUAGUCGGAGAUAUCAUGAGUGUGGUGAUUCCUCGAAACACUUGCAUUCCUGUCAAGAAGACAAGACCAUAUGUUACAAUCGAAGAUAACCAAUCCAGUUCCACAAUUGCGGUUUAUGAGGGUGAGAGAACAAGAGCUAGUGACAACAAUUUUCUGGGUUCCUUUAUUCUUUCUGGUCAUACCCUGGCUCCUCGUGGCCUUCCUUUGGAUGUCUGUUUUGCUAUAGAUGAAAAUGGUAUUUUGACAGUUUCUGCUAAGGAAAAGUGCAGUGGCAAAAUGAAUGAAAUUACAAUAUCCAAUCACAAAGAAAGGAUGUCAGCUGAAGAAAUUAAAAAAUUGAUUAAAGAAGCUGAGAGUUACCGUGUUGAGGACAUGAAAUUCCUAAGGAAGGCUGAAGCAGUGAAUGCAUUGGAUCACUACAUUUACAAAAUGAGAAAUGCUUUAAAGAAAAAAGAUAUUAAUUUGAAGCUUUCCUCACAAAAGAUCAGGAAGAUUGAAUCUGCAAUUACAGUGGCCACAAAUAUGCUUGAUGAGGAUCACCAUCACAAUGAUUCACAUGUUCUCGAGAAUCAUUUGAAGGAGCUCAAGAUUGAGUUUGAUUACAUCAUUGCUAAGACUAUUUAGAUUGCUUUAUCCUCUAGAAGAUUUUAUUAAGUAAGGUUUGACGAAUUUUGUAGUGUGAACUUGCAUUUAAAUGAACUGGAUCAAUCCUAUGUUAAAAUUUAACUUUUUAAAUUACUGAGGUCAGCAACUGUUAUACAUAGGAAUGAAUUGGUAUACAAUAGUGUGAAACCAUUAUUAGAAAGGAUCUAGAACCAAAUUGCACCUUUGAACACAAAUAUUUUAUUUUAUGUGUCGGUGGUUAAUUUGUUCAGGGAUGGGAAAAUGUUAGUAGCAAAGAUCGAACUCUGAACCUCCUACAUGGAACUCUUUUGGUGUCCCAAUCCAUACAAAAAGUAUUGAAAUUAAACAAUGGCAAGUCGAUUCAAAUCGGCUUUUUUAUCUUCCAAGUAACCGUCUAGAGAGGUGAUACAAAAGUCUCGAUUUUGAUUUUGUCCACAAAUUACAUUGAUUUUUUUUUUCUUUUGAGAGACACUUUCUGUGGUAGAGGAAAACAUUAAGAUGAACAGAAAGAUCAACAUGAAAAGAAGAACAGAACAGGAGAAAAAAAAAAGAUGCAUCUGAAAAGCAAUUGUUUGUUCUGUUUUAACUUCAAUGUGCAAGUUGUAGAAGCUAGUCUUGUUUCUAUAAAUUGUAUAAACAGAAAUUAUAUAAGAAUAAGCUUAGAAUAAUGAGUUUAGAACAAAGGUAGUUACUAAUCAUGCAUAUGCUGCCUACACUAUUUAUCAUAUUCCUGAAGGACAUGCAACCAAGCACUUUUGCACAUAAAAAGGUGUACUAGUGAAGUUAGUAUUUUGUCAAACACUCCAGACUUUUUUUUUUUUUUUUGAUAAUAACACUCCAGACUUUUUAACGUCCAUUCCUACGUUCCGAAUAAUGUAAGAAAGAAAGAUUUCGACAGGUGGGGAUUGGGCAUAGCGGAAGGGAUUAGAUUCCUACAAUGUUAUGUAUCAAUGUUCGAAUUACGAGAGAUAUCCACAUUUAGUGACCUGACACGUCUCAAAUAUGAUUACUUUUAGUGGAAAGAAACUAUAAAACAAGAUGUUGGAACAAAAUAGAUUUAAAAAUUGUUCCCCCCCUGAGAUUAUUAAAGUUUUGAUGAUAACAAAGUAUUAAAUGUACAAUUUGAGAUAUUAAAAAUUUAUUUUAAGUGUGCAGAACUAACGUAAAGUCAAGUUCUGAAGCAAGGCCAGAAGAUGAACUCUCAGAGGUUCAUAAUGACUCAGAAGUUAUAAACAUCAGAGGUUAUGUCCAUCAGAGGUUGAAAACCUCAGGACUUGAUAUCUCAGAAGCUAGUCAAACUCUUAUGUGAUCUUGGUUUCUGUGAAGAUUCGUCAUUGAAGGUUAACUCUUUUACCAAUGAAGAAAACGACCUCUCAAGAAGAUCAGAACAACAUCUUACAUUUUUUCCUAGUCUCUAGGACAGAAUGUGACUGAUCUGGUCUCUUAGCUUAAUAAGGAAAGUCUUCUCUGCACUAGGUCAAAGUUACUGAAACUCUUACUCUAUUUUGGAAAACAUCCAAACUGCAUCAAGACAUAUGCAAGAAGACAAGCUUAUCUUCAUCAACGGUCAUAUGCAACGACUACUUUUCUCAGUACUAUAAAUACUAGAAGAAGUGGAUUGCAUACAUACAACACACGCACGAACAAGCUAUCAUCUUACAAUCUAAGAAUACAAACUCUCAUCCUCUAAACCGAGAAUUCCAUUCUUACUCAAAUACUUUGUAUUUAAUUGUUAAGGUUCUUUAAGAGUAUUGUAUUACACUCUCAACAAACUUUAUUUACAUUCUUAAGUUUGAGAAGUCUCUUGUUGUGUGCUUGAGCAUUGUGUAGAAGUCUCUUACUGAGUGCUUGAUCAUUUGUAAUCUUGUGUGAUUAUAGUGAAAUCCCUUUGAAGUACAAGAGGACCGGACUACUCUCGUUUUGUGAGAGGAACCAGUAUAAAUUCUCUGUGUGUUUCUAUCUCUUUUAUCUGCUUCGUGUGAUUGAUUUAUUUAUCCGCUGCUAAGUACUUGAAAUCUAAGUUGAAAAAGUUUUAACUUACCAAAACACAAUUCAACCUCCUCUUCUUGUGUUUUCAAAAAGUUAUACACAAUUAACAUUAUUUUAAUUCUUUUCUUUUAAUUAUUUUUAUGAUUUUAUGAGUGUCUAACACAUGUCAUUUGUAUUUGUGCCUAUUAAAGAAUUUUUCAUAUACAAAGCGAUUCUUGCUUAGACACAAAUCCAAAUAAAAUAUGUUUGGGCACAUACACACAAAUCAAAAAGUUUAAAAGAAAAUAAAAGUCACAUCAAUUAACAUUAUUUUAAUUCUUUUCUUUUAAUUAUUUUUAUGAUUUUGUGAGUGUGUCUAACACAUGUCAUUUGUGUUUGUGCCUAUUAAAAUUUUUUUUCUAUACAGAACAAUUCUUGCUUAGGCACAAACCCAAAUAAAAUAUAUUUGGGCACAUACACACAAAUCAAAAAGUUAAAAAAAAAAAAAAAUAGUAACAUCAAUUAAUAUUAUUUUAAUUCUUUUAUGUUAAUUAUUUUUAUGAUUUUGUGAGUGUAUAGUUGUAUUGAUAAAAAAUUAAAAAUAAGUCUUUCAUAUGUGUCUAAUGGAUCAGUACUAUUAAUCAAGUAACGGUCAAUAAAGUUGAAAGAUUUUUUUUAUCAAACUACUCCUCGAAAAACAAAAUAAUAUCAAACUACCCUACUUUUUUGAAAAAAAUACCAAACUACCCUACUUUUUAGUGUGAGGGGAACGCUCUACCCAGUAGAUAGCGUCCAUAGGAAGGACACACCAUUGGGAAGCUAGCGUCCAGUUCUGGCUUUUUUCUUCGUUUUUUAGAAUCGGCAACGGGUUUUAACUAUUACCGUAGGACUUAAAAAAAUUGUUCCAUAAAUAAUUUAUUUAUUUCGAUAGUUUUUUUACAUUUUCUGUGGGUUAUAGACUAUCGAAAUGAAUAAAUUGUUUAUCGAACCAUUUAUUCACCGAGACUGGAAAAAUCUCAUAAUUCAUAGUUUAUAACCGGCGAAAAUUGUAAAAAAAACUACCGAAAUGAAUAAAUUGUUUAUCAAACCAUUUUUUUUAAGAAUCUUCCAUCCUAACACGUAUAGUGUGUCAGUGGAUCCAUUUAGGUGAGGAAUCAAAUAAAUGUUAUUUAUUCACUAAGUCUGAAAAUAUUCCGAAAUUCGUAGUCAUAUAACACACGGAAAUUCGUAGUUUAACAAUUUAUUCAGCGAGACUGGAAAAAUCUCAUAAUUUGUAGUCUAUAACCCACAUAAAUCGUAAAAAAACUAACAAAAUGAAUAAAUUGUUUAUCGAACCAUUGUUUUUGAAGAAUCUUCCAUCACAACAAGUAUAGUGUGUCUGUGGAACCAUUUAGGUGAGAAAUCAAAUAAAUUUUAUUUAUUCACUAAGUUUGGAAAAAUUCCAAAAUUUGUAGUCUAUAACACACGAUAAUUGUAAAAAACUAACAAAAUGAAUAAAUUAUUUAUUGAACCAUUUUUUCGAGUUCUGCGAAAAUAGUUAAAACCCGUUGCCGAAUCUAAAAAACAGAUAAAAAAAAAUGCCAGAAUUGGACGCUAGCUUCUCAAUGGUGAAGGUGUGAAAACACAAGAAGGGGAGGUUGAAUUGUGUUUUAGCCAAGUUAAAUUUUUUUCAAAGUUCUUAACUCAGCUACGUUAGCAGCGGAUAAAUAACACAAAAAGUAACAAGAUCAGAGAGAGAGAAAGCACACAAGCAAUUUAUACUGGUUCCUCUCAAAAAACGAGAGUAGUCCAGUCCCCUUGCACUUCCAAGGGAUUUCACUAUAAUCACACAAGAUUACAAAUGCUCAAGCACACAAACAAGAGACUUCACCACUAUGCUUAAGUACACAAGCUUAAGACUUCUCACUUAAGCACACAAGCUUAAGACUUCUCACUUAAGCACACAAGCUUAAGAUUACUCAAACUAACAAAGUAAAUAAAGUUUGAUGAUUGAAUAUAACUGCUCUUAAGAGAACCUUAAGAAUCAAAUACAGUAAGUACAAAGUAUUUGAACUAAGAGUUAAAAACACUAAUUCAGAGAUUCAGAGCUUGUAUUCGCAAAUGUGAAAAUGUUGAGCGCACGUUGUAAUAAUUGAUGUUAGAUUGAUAGAUCUCUUUGCAAGUUGAUUCUUCCAGUAUAUAUAGGACUAAGAAAGAGUCGUUGCAAAGAUGACCGUUGAUGAAGAUAACCUUUUGUCUUCAAGCAGCUUGUCUUGAUGCAGUUUGGUCGUUUCCAAAACAGAGUAAGAGUUUCCGUAACUUUGACCAUGUGCAGAGNNNNNNNNNNNNNNNNNNNNNNNNNNNNNNNNNNNNNNNNNNNNNNNCUUUGACCAUGUGCAGAGAAGACUUUCCUUAUUCAGCUAAGAAGUCUGAUAACCCACGUUCUCCAUUGUGGACAGACAAAAUGUAAGUAGCUGUUCUGAUCAAGGUUGUGAGGUCCUUUUCUUCAUUGGUAAGAGAGUUGACCUUCAAAUUCGAAUCUUCACACAAACCAAGAUAUACCUCAGAGUUUGAUUCACUUCAGACUUUAGCAAGUUCUGAUGUCUUCAUCCUCUGAUGUAAGUAACUUCUGAAGAUUCUUAUCUUCUGAGUUCUUGCGAACUUCUGAGGACUUGUCUUCUGAACUUUCUUCAGAGUUUGUCUGAAACUAAGUUCUGCAUACUUAAAUUAAAUUUUUAGUCCUUCCAAUUGUAUAUUAAUACUUUUGUUAUCAUCAAAACCUUAAUAGAUUUAGGGGCAAACAUUUUUAAACCAAUUUUAUUCCAACAAAUGGUGCGUCCGAACGCUACCUUGGAAAUGGCGCGUCCUUCCUAUGAACGCUAUCCUCUGGAUGGAACAUUCUCCUCACACAAAAAAGUAUGGUAGUUUGGUAUUUUUUCAAAAAAGUAGGGUAAUUUGGUAUUAUUUUAUUUUUAUAGGAGUAGUUGAAACCACGAAAAAUGACGGUUGCGUGUUAUUUUUGACGGUUCACUGUAAAAGUGAACUGUGACUGUAAGAUUGAAGAGACGUUUGAAAGGUUCAGCAAAAAAUUUCAAAGGAGAAUGUUAACAUAUAAGGAAGCAAAAAUAGAAAUUAUUAAAUGCUAAUUUGUGCAUUUUGACUUUUGAAGCAUUAAAUUUCUUGUAUCAUUAAAUGUUAAAUUUCUAUUUUGGUAUAUCUUAACAUAUGCCUAAUGUGCCCUAAGGGCACAUGUUAACGAGAUCCUUUUUCAAAUACUUGAUUUUGCUUUUUAAGGGUUUCAGAAGAGAUAAACCUCAACAAGGAGCAUUUUCAUUCACACCAUCACUUCAACAAUCAACUACAAGUUAAGGUUAAGCUUCUCAUUUUCUUCUCAAAAUAUUGACUUGUGUGUUUUUUCUGAACUUGUUUAUGUACUUUUUAACAGAUUCAUGGCGAGGAAAUACGAAGGACUUGGUGUUGGAAUAGACCUUGGCACCACAUACUCGUGUGUUGCAGUGUGGCAGGAACAACAUUCUCGAGUUGAGAUCAUUCACAACGAUCAAGGAAACAGAACAACUCCUUCUUUUGUUGCUUUUACCGAAGAACAAAGGUUGGUUGGUGAUGCUGCUAAGAAUCAAGCUGCUGCUAACCCUCAAAACACUGUUUUUGGUAUUUUCUAUUUCUUACUACUUCCUUUAAAAGUAUAAAACCUAGUUACAAGAUCUUUUUAUGAAAAAAUCAAUUUUUUUCCUAAAAAAUUUAUCUUUAUCAUUUUGAUUGUUAUAGGAUUUAAUUGAUAUGCACACCAACCAUGUUUUCCACCACAUCACCCCACUUCAUCCUACUUUCUUGACAUGACAUGACAAAAUGAUGGUUAUUUAUUAGACGAUCGUGUAAAAUAUUAAACUCUUUGUUAUAGUAUAUUUUGAAGAAAAUAAUUUUUAGUUCCAAAAUGAAAAGUUAAUCUCCUAAUAGCUUUUCUAGGAGCUUCACAUUUUCAAAAACUGAUUUUUAUAAUAGUAAACAAACAGAAAUUAGUUUUAAUUUUUUUAAAAUCCUUAAAAAAUAAUUUCUAAAUUUUCUAAAAAUAAAUUCAUUUUUUUAAAAGGUUAAACAAUGCAUCGGUAUCCCCAUGAGUUUAACUCACUUGGUAAGGGAUAAUCACAUUUUAUAUGCGGGGGGUCGGAGUUCGAAUCCCAGACACCCCACUUAUCCACCUUAAGAGUGAAAUUUUUAACCACUAGACUACGUGACAAAAAAAACACACCUUUUAUUUAUCCAACCAUCACAAUAGAGCUACUACAAACCAUCAAACCUUUUCUUCAACCUUAAGGCCCCUUUAUAAUAAGUAUAUUCUCUUAGAAAAAACUCCAUCCAACUUGAAUGUGCAAAAGACAAUGAUUUAGUAUUACCUCUAAAGUUAAACCAAACACAGUUUGAAGUUGGUUAAAUUUUCUCAAAAGAUUCAUUUGUUUUUGCUAUAAUAUAGAAAACAUAUGUUUUUAUUUGAAAAUCCUUAACAACAUAACAGAUAUGUAUCCGCACACUAAUAUAAUAAGUAUGUUCUCACCAGCCCAGAUGCUCAAUAACAUAGGUAAUAUAGAAAAACGUUAGCUUUGCUUAAUCUUUAAACACUUGCGGCCAUCCUGUAACUCAACCGAUGUUAAUUUCAAAUAAGAACAUUUUUUAGGAAAUACCCGAAACAGUUUGUAACUUGUACGAUGGGGAACUUUGUGCCACACAACCAUUUAUUUUUAUUGUUUUGUUAUUAUUAAUGCUGAACAAUUGAAUCAUGAGAAAUACUAAUUUUAUUUUUCAGAUGCUAAGAGGUUAAUCGGUAGGAAGUUUGUGAUCAAGUUGUUCAAGAUGAUAUUCUAUUGUGGCCAUUCAAGGUUGCUGCUGGUAUCAAUGACAAACCCAUGAUUACUGUUAAUUACAAGAAUCAGGAGAAGCAGCUUUGUGCCGAAGAAGUAUCAUCUAUGAUACUCACAAAGAUGCGAGAAAUUGCUGAGACAUACUUAGAAUCACCGGUUAAAAAUGCAGUUGUUACUGUGCCUGCUUAUUUCAGUGAUUCUCAACGAAAGGCCACCAUAGAUGCUGGUGCUAUUGCUGGCCUCAAUGUCAUGAGGAUAAUGAAUGAACCCACCGCUGCAGCUGUUGCAUAUGGCCUUGACAAGAUAACUAAUUGUGUUGGAGAACGUAAUAUUUUUGUCUUUGAUCUUGGUGGUGGAACUUUUGAUGUGUCACUCCUAACAAUUAAGGAUAAUGUAUUCCAAGUUAAGGCCACAGCUGGAAACACUCACCUUGGUGGAGAGGACUUUGAUAAUAGAAUGGUGGACUACUUUGUACAAGAGUUUAAGAGAAAGAAGAAAUUGGACAUUAGUGGGAAUCCAAGAGCCUUGAGGAGGUUGAGAACUGCUUGCGAGAGGGCAAAAAGAACACUUUCUUUUCUUGUUGUUGCCAUUAUUGAGGUGGAUUCUUUAUUUCAAGGCAUUGACUUUUCUUCAUCAAUUAAUAGGGCCAAGUUUGAGGAAAUGAAUAUGGACCUUUUCAAUGAAUGUACGAAGAUUGUUGAAAGUUGUCUUAUUGAUGCUAAGAUGGACAAGAGUAAGGUAGAUGAUGUUGUUCUUGUUGGUGGGUCUUCUAGGAUUCCC
rnacentral:lncRNA from 1 species